UGCUGGCUUUAUAUCUCUGUGCUGUGCUCAGAGAUAUUGCAUGGGAGGAAUAACAACUGCUCUGAUGGCAUUUGCUGGGAUCCCCUUGACGGCUGAGCAGGCAAGCUGGUGCUCCCAGUGGGCUGGCCUGUGUUUCUCCUCGUAAAUCCAUGGGAAGAUACAGGGCUGAAAACAAAGACAUCCAAACCUUGAGCCAUUUAGAAGAGGAAGAAGCCAAAAUCUGUGCCAGAGGUUUGACUGCUGGGUUUACUCAUGGCUUCAGGUCAGGGUGGGCACUGCUAGAUAAUGAAGGCAUGGUCGGUUUCGUGGGGCUUGGUCUGUUGGGAGGAUUUUCUGAGAAGCAUCUGAGUAGCUGCUAGCUGGAUGGCUUCACUUCUGACCCCCCCAACCUGAGUGAGGUUUGCUGCUCGCAGUAUUCCUGGAAUGACACAGGGGCUCUGGCUGGAGUCAGGCCAGGGUAUUAAAUGAGACUGCUUUUGUGGCACUUCUGCAUUUGAUACGUAGAGGACAGAUUUCCCGCUCAUGUCUCUGCAGUGUUUGACUUUGUUGACCAUGAAACCCUUCAUAUCCCUGCUGAGGAGGGGGGUUGCAGUCUGGUGGGAGUGGUUCAGUGGGACACACCCAGUUAGUAGAGAUGUGAACGUACAUCACUACUGCUAAUGCCCAGAUGUGAUGCUGUCAAACAAGGACCUAUCCU